ensembl:lncRNA
CGCUCCUGGAAUGGCAGGUAGCCUAGUGGUUAGAGUGUUGGGCCAGGAACCGAAAGGUUGGUGGAUGGAAUCCCUGAGCUGACAAGGACCUGAGCCCUGGGACCAUGCCUCAGGACUACCUGGCAUGAUGACUCCUUGCUGUCCCCAGUCCACCUGGCCGUGCUGCUGCUCCAGUUUCAACUGUUCUGCCUGCGGCUAUGGAAGCCUGACCUGUUCACCGGACGUGCACCUGUCCCAGACCUGCUGUUUUCAACUCUCUAGAGACAGCAAGAGAGGUCCGCGACAUUACGUCACCACCGCGGGGAAACAAGGAGUACAGCC